rnacentral:rRNA from 1 species
UGUACUACAAGAUUGUGAUUGAGAGAAGUACUGACGCAGAAGGAAAAGUCGAGCGUGCGAAUGGUUGUGCACGUCCAAAUAACAAGCCAGAAUAUACAGGCAAAUCCGUAUAUUCGUCAACGUAAGUUAUGAUGGGGAGCAGAAAGAUGCGAAGCGACAGAUUCAAACUGCCAAGAAAAGGUGCUAUCGAAUAAUCUUGUACCCGUACCGCAAACCGACACAGGUAGGCAAGAAGAGAAUUCUAAGACGCGCGGAAGAACCUUUGUUAAGGAACUCGGCAAAAUAAUCCCGUAAGUUAGCGAGAAGGGAUGCCUAAGAAAUUAGGUCGCAGAGAAUAGGCCCAAGCGACUGUUUACCAAAACACAAGUAUCUGCUAAAUCGAAAGAUGAAGUAUAGGUGCUGACACCUGCCCGGUGCUGGAAGGUCAAGGGGACUUGUUAGAGCAAUCGAAGCAACGAACUUAAGCCCCAGUAAACGGCGGCCGUAACUAUAACGGUCCUAAGGUAGCGAAAUUCCUUGUCGGGUAAGUUCCGACCCGCACGAAAGGUGUAACGAUUUGGGCGCUGUCUCAACAAAGGAUCCGGUGAAAUUGUAGUAGUCGUGAAGAUGCGACUUACCCACGGUAGGACGGAAAGACCCCGUGGAGCUUUACUGCAGGUUGACAUUGAAUUUUGGGAUUAAAUGUACAGGAUAGGUGGGAGACGAAGAAGCAAGCUCGCCAGAGUUUGCAGAGUCACUGUUGGGAUACCACCCUUUUAAUUCUAAAGUUCUAACUAGUUACCAUGAAGCUGGUAAUAGGACACUGUCAGUCGGGCAGUUUGACUGGGGCGGUCGCCUCCAAAAAGUACGGAGGCGUUCAAAGGUUCGCUCAGAAUGGUUGGAAAUCAUUCAAAGAGUACAAAGGCAAAAGCGAGCUUAACUGCGAGACAUACAGGUCGAGCAGAGACGAAAGUCGGACUUAGUGAUCCGGUGGUACCGAGUGAAGGCCAUCGCUCAACGGAUAAAAGCUACCCCGGGGAUAA